rnacentral:rRNA from 1 species
GAAAUGGAUUUCCGCCUAGAGAGAAGCUUGCGGCUGAUUAGCUUGUUGGUGAGGUAAUGGCUCACCAAGGCGACGAUCAGUAUCUGGUUUGAGAGGACGAUCAGACACACUGGAACUGAGACACGGUCCAGACUCCUACGGGAGGCAGCAGUGGGGAAUUUUCCGCAAUGGGCGAAAGCCUGACGGAGCAAUACCGCGUGAGGGAUGACGGCCUAUGGGUUGUAAACCUCUUUNUUCAGGGAGGAAUCAAUGACGUGUACCUGAAGAAUAAGCAUCGGCUAACUCCGUGCCAGCAGCCGCGGUAAGACGGAGGAUGCAAGUGUUAUCCGGAAUCACUGGGCGUAAAGCGUCUGUAGGUGGUUUAAUAAGUCAACUGUUAAAUCUUGAGGCUCAACCUCAAAAUCGCAGUCGAAACUAUUAGACUAGAGUAUAGUAGGGGUAAAGGGAAUUUCCAGUGGAGCGGUGAAAUGCGUAGAUAUUGGAAGGAACACCGAUGGCGAAGGCACUUUACUGGGCUAUUACUAACACUCAGAGACGAAAGCUAGGGUAGCAAAUGGGAUUAGAUACCCCAGUAGUCCUAGCUGUAACAAUGGAUACUAGAUGUUGAACAGAUCGACCUGUGCAGUAUCAAAGCU